GGGAUUUUGGGCGUAAGGGCUCGCAGGCGGUUUCUUAAGUCUGAUGUGAAAGCCCCCGCCUCAACCGGGGAGGGUCAUUGGAAACUGGGGAACUUGAGUGCAGAAGAGGAGAGUGGAAUUCCACGUGUAGCGGUGAAAUGCGUAGAGAUGUGGAGGAACACCAGUGGCGAAGGCGACUCUCUGGUCUGUAACUGACGCUGAGGAGCGAAAGCGUGGGGAGCGAACAGGAUUAGAUACCCUGGUAGUCCACGCCGUAAACGAUGAGUGCUAAGUGUUAGGGGGUUUCCGCCCCUUAGUGCUGCAGCUAACGCAUUAAGCACUCCGCCUGGGGAGUACGGUCGCAAGACUGAAACUCAAAGGAAUUGACGGGGGCCCGCACAAGCGGUGGAGCAUGUGGUUUAAUUCGAAGCAACGCGAAGAACCUUACCAGGUCUUGACAUCCUCUGACGAUCCUAGAGAUAGGACGUCCCCUUCGGGGGCAGAGUGACAGGUGGUGCAUGGUUGUCGUCAGCUCGUGUCGUGAGAUGUUGGGUUAAGUCCCGCAACGAGCGCAACCCUUGAUCUUAGUUGCCAGCAUUCAGUUGGGCACUCUAAGGUGACUGCCCGGUGACAA
rnacentral:rRNA from 1 species